AACAACUUUUACAAUGUCCUUGAGUAGCUCAAGACACGUAUGGCUUGAGUGAAUGUGCCGGAACUAACCGGUAAGGCUACAUACUUUUAAAGACCGAUAGUGAACUAGUACCGUGAGGGAAAGGUGAAAAGCACCCCGGAAGGGGAGUGAAAUAGAUCUGAAACCAUAUGUCUACAAUGAGUGGAUGAGGUAGCAAUACCUCUACCGCGUGCCUAUUGAAGAAUGAGCCUGCGAGUUUAUGUGUGCGGCGUAUGGCUAAGCGCGAUGAGCGCGAAGCCGCAGGGAAACCGAGUGUGAAUAGCGCGUUUGUCGCACGCAUAAGACCCGAAGCAAGGUGAGCUACCCAUGAGCAGGGUGAAGUUUGUCGAAAGACAGAUGGAGGCCCGAACCGUUGAGCCGUUCAAAACUCUCGGAUGACUUGUGGGUUGGAGUGAAAAGCUAAUCGAACCUUGUAAUAGCUGGUUCUCUCUGAAACAACUUUUGGGUUGGCGUCGUAUUUAUUGAUAGUUGGGGGUAGAGCACUGGAAGGAUCGGACAGGUCGCAAGAUCGCUGAUCCUAUCAAACUCCGAAUACCGACUAUGUUAUACGGCAGUUAGUACGUGGGGGCUAAGCUCCACCGUACAAAAGGAGAAGAGUCCUAGAUCUCAAGUUAAGGUCCCAAAGUUCGCGUUAAGUACAUCACAAGGAGGUGAGAUUUCUUAGACAAUGAGGAUGUUGGCUUAGAAGCAGCCAUCAUUAAAAGAAAGCGUAACAGCUCACUCAUCGAGAGAUCUUGCGCCAAAGAUAAUCGGGGUUUAAACGCGACACCGAAGCUGAGGAUGUGUGUGGUCUUCGGACCAUGCACGUGGUAAGAGAGCAUUCUGUUCGCAAUGAAGCUAAAGGGGCGACCCAUAGUGGAGCGUUCAGAAGAGAGAAUGCAGGCACAAGUAACCGCAAUGCGGGUGAGAUCCCCGCACGCCGAAAGAUCAAGGUUUCCUUGGCGAUGUUGAUCAGCCAAGGGUUAGUCGGGCCUAAGCCGAUGGCGAAAGCCGCAGGUGAUGGACAUAGGGUUAAUAUUCCCUAACCGGCAGUAAGGUGACGGAGUGACGCGAGAGAUAAAUUGGCACGCUUUAUUGGAUUAGCGGCCGGCCUCUGUAGAUGUGUAUCGCAGGAAAAUCCGCGGUACUGCUUUUAAUAGCGACAUCGUGAGGAUGGUGUAUCCCGCCUUCGGGCUGGAGAAGUCAGUGAAGAGCUCGCCGAGAAAAACUUCUAAACUUAACUUACUGUACGACCGUACCGCAAACCGACACAGGUGAUCAGCUCGAGUAGAGCAAGGCGAACGAGUGAGUGUGCUCCAAGGAACUCGGCAAAAAAGCGGCCGUACCUUCGGAAUAAGGCCUGCCCCUAUUUAUUUAGGGGCCGCAGCGAAAGUAUCCCUGGCGACUGUUUACCAAAAACACAGCUCCCUGCGAACUCGUAAGAGGAUGUAUAGGGGGUGACACUUGACCAAUGCCAGAAGGUCAACCA
rnacentral:rRNA from 1 species